CGCACGGGUGAGUAACACGUAUCCAACCUGCCGUCUACUCUUGGACAGCCUUCUGAAAGGAAGAUUAAUACAAGAUGGCAUCAUGAGUCCGCAUGUUCACAUGAUUAAAGGUAUUCCGGUAGACGAUGGGGAUGCGUUCCAUUAGAUAGUAGGCGGGGUAACGGCCCACCAAGGCAUCGAUGGAUAGGGGUUCUGAGAGGAAGGUCCCCCACAUUGGAACUGAGACACGGUCCAAACUCCUACGGAAGGCAGCAG
rnacentral:rRNA from 1 species